rnacentral:SRP_RNA from 1 species
GCCAGGCAUGGUGGUGCAUGCCUGUAAUCCCAGCUACUUGGGAGGCUGAGACAGGAGAAUCACUUGAACCCGGGAGGUGGAGGCUGCAGGGAGCCGAGAUCGUGCACUGCACUCCAGCCUGGGCAACAGAGCGAGACUCUGUCUCAA